UUUAGGCUUAGGCUUAGGCUUCGGCUUAGAUUUAGUCUUAGGCUUAGUCUUAGGC
rnacentral:sRNA from 1 species